rnacentral:rRNA from 1 species
UACGAAGGGGGCUAGCGUUGCUCGGAAUUACUGGGCGUAAAGGGCGCGUAGGCGGCCUGUUAAGUCGAACGUGAAAUCCCCGGGCUCAACCCGGGAACUGCGUCCGAUACUGGCAGGCUUGAAUCCGGGAGAGGGAUGCGGAAUUCCAGGUGUAGCGGUGAAAUGCGUAGAUAUCUGGAGGAACACCGGUGGCGAAGGCGGCAUCCUGGACCGGCAUUGACGCUGAGGCGCGAAAGCCAGGGGAGCAAACGGG